GGACCGGUGUCAGCGGUCGUGUCAGUGACAGGAGAUGGAAUGAAUCUUACUGUAAUCUAUCUCACUCAGCUCUCAACCAAUCACACUCCACUUCCUCUCUCUCACGCGCUCAAUCUCGUUACAUAAAACACUCUCGCAUUCACUUCAGUAAAACGACACCGUUAGUGGCAUGCUUCCCCUAGUCUGAGCGAGUACUGGGCUGUUACAGGUUACAA
rnacentral:misc_RNA from 1 species